rnacentral:rRNA from 1 species
AAGCAGAGACUCAACCUCGUACCUUUUGCAUCAUGAUUUAGCGAGCAGGCCCAGGCAAAAAGAAUUUUAGUCUGGCCCCCCGAAGCCGAGUGAGCUACUCCAAGACAACCUAGAGCUAGGGUUAAUCCGUCUCUGUAGCAAAAGAGUGGAAAGAGCUUUGAGUAGGGGUGACAUACCUAUCGAACUUGGUUAUAGCUGGUUGCUUGAGACACGAAUAGGAGUUCUGCUUCUUAUAAUUUCUUCCCAUACCCUUCCCCUCCCCACCCAUCCUUCCUAGGAUUAGAAGGACAAAGAAGAUAAGAAAGCUAUUCGAAGGGGGUUCAGCUCCUUCGAGAUAAAACACAACUUUCCUAGGAGGGUAAAGAUCAUAAUCUCUUAAGGUAAUUCUGUUUAAGUGGGCCUAAGAGCAGCCACCUUCCUAGAAAGCGUUAAAGCCCUAACAUGAACAUUACCCCUAAUCCCGAUAACUAAUCUCAUCCCCCUUGACAUAUCAAGCUGUCCCAUCCCCCCAUGGGAGUAAUAUUGCUAAAAUGAGUAAUCAGAGGAUACUUCUUCUCUCCACGCACGUGUGUAAAUCGGAUCGGACCCCCCACCGAGAAUUAACGGUCCCAGUUAAUAGAGGGUACUGAACUAGAGCUGAUAAACAAGAAAUCUGUUCAGACUUCACCGUUAACCCCACACUGGAAUGCUUCAAAGGAAAGACCUAAAGGAAAAAAAGGAAUUCGGCAAACACACCUGAGCCUCGCCUGUUUACCAAAAACACCGCCUCUUGUUUAUUUCGCAUAAGAGGUCGCACCUGCCCACUGACCCCUGGUUCAACGGCCGCGGUAUUUUAACCGUGCGAAGGUAGCGUAAUCAUUUGUCCCUUAAAUGUGGACCUGUAUGAAGGGCUUAACGAGGGCUUUACUGUCUCCUUUUCCUGGUCAAUGAAAUUGAUCCCCCCGUGCAGAAGCGGGGAUUAAAACAUAAGACGAGAAGACCCUACGGAGCUUUAGAUUUCAGGACAGAUCAUGUCAGCCACUUCCCAUGAGAGGUGGUACAUAUUGAAAGUCUGCUUCCCUGUCUUAGGUUGGGGCGACCUUGGGGGCUAAAAUACCCCUCAUUGUGGAGUAAGAGCAUAAAGCUUUCACAACUAAGAGCUACGGCUCUAAUGCGCAGAACUUUUGACCAACGCGACCCGGCAAAGCCGAUUAACGAAUCAAGUUACCCCAGGGAUAACAGCGCAAUCCCCUUUGAGAGUUCCUAUCGACAAGGGGGUUUACGACCUCGAUGUUGGAUCAAGACAUCCUAAUGGCGUAAUCGCUAUUAAGGGUUCGUUUGUUCAACGAUUAAAGUCUU